AUGAAGAUCAUGUUAUUGUCUUACAUGUUUGUAUCACUGUGGUACACGUUUGGUGGAGGAACCAGACUGGAGUUUGGAAGUGAUGCCCGUCCCACCCUGACGGUGCUGCCCCCCUCCAGUGAGGAGCUGCAGCAGGGGAAGGCCACCCUCAUGUGUCUGGCCAACAAGGGCUUCCCCUCAGACUGGAGUCUGUCCUGGAAGGUGGACGACAGCAGCAGCAGCAGCAGCAGCUGGGAGCAGAGCAGGAGCCCCGGGGUGCUGCAGAAGGAUGGCCUCUACAGCUGGAGCAGCACCCUGAGGCUCCCUGCAGACCAGUGGAGGAAGGUGGGCUCUGUGACCUGUGAGGCCACCCAGGGCUCCCAGACUGCAGUCACACAGACGCUGAGGAAAGACCAGUGUUCCCAGUCCUGACCGCACUCUCUGAGACACUGAUAUUGGCUUUAAUCUGUGACUGCUCUCACUUUUUCUCUCCUGAUUAUUCUCUAGUUUCACUCAAUCAUCUUUGCUUUGUCAUGUUGGUCACUAUUCAGUAAUAAAGAUUUACU